GCAAGUCGAAACGAGUAACGUUUCCUUCGGGAAAACUAGUAGAGUGGCGAACGGGUGAGUAACGGGUGGAAAACCUGCCCUUCAAUGGGGGAUAACAGUUCUAACGAGCUGCUAAUACCGCAUACGACCUUUUGAUCGCAUGUUCGAAAGGUGAAAGGUGGCCUCUCUUUGAAGCUGCCGUUGAAGGAUGGUUCCGCCUCCCAUUAGCUAGUUGGUGGGGUAAAGGCCUACCAAGGCGACGAUGGGUAGCCGGCCUGAGAGGGUGUCCGGCCACACUGGGACUGAGAUACGGCCCAGACUCCUACGGGAGGCAGCAGUCGAGAAGCUUCCGCAAUGGGGGAAACCCUGACGGAGCGACGCCGCGUGAGUGAAGAAGGCCCUUUGGGUUGUAAAGCUCUGUCAGAUUGGGAAGAAAAUCCUACGGUUAAUACCUGUGGGACUUGACGGUACCAUCAGAGGAAGCACCGGCUAACUCCGUGCCAGCAGCCGCGGUAAUACGGAGGGUGCAAGCGUUGUUCGGAUUCACUGGGUAUAAAGGGUGCGCAGGCGGCCUGGUAAGUCAGGGGUGAAAUAUGACGGCUCAACCGUCAAACUGCCCCUGAAACUGUCAGGCUUGAGUCCGGGAGAGGAAGGUGGAAUUCCAGGUGUAGCGGUGAAAUGCGUAAAUAUCUGGAGGAACACCG
rnacentral:rRNA from 1 species